rnacentral:snRNA from 1 species
AGCUUUGCGCAGUGGCAGUAUCGCAGCCAAUGAGGUUUAUCCAAAGCGCGAUAAUUGCUAAUUGAAAACUUUUCCCAAUACCUCGCCAUGACAACUUGAAAUAUAGUCGGCAGCAGCAAUUUUUGAGUCUCUACGGAGA